GUAUUUGUUAAUUUAUUGUUUAUGCUAUGAAAAAAACACCGGUUUUUAAUUAUUGUAAUUUCUAAUUUCUAUUUUCUAAUAAUUAAUAAUAUGAGAUCUAAGUAGAAUAACGCUAUACUUCUAAUCAUAUAAAUUAUGACGAGCAUGGAGAAACUUCAACUAUUACUUGCUCGUGGCACAGGGCAUAAGAAUUUAGUCGAUGAUCUUUUCAAAACAGUCGACGAUUCGUUAAAAGUUUAUAGACGAGUAGGAGUUUUUGAAAUUACUGAUCAAUCCAAUGAACAAAGAGGCACUGAUAAUUUUCAAUGCAAUGUGGAUGGUUGUACUUCAAGUUUCACAUCAAUGGCUGAUUACGAUUCACAUUAUAAUUCAAAUCAUCGUUACACUUGCAUUUACUGUCGAAAACUAUUACAAUCUGCACAUCUCUUAGAUUUACAUUUGAGCGAAACACAUGAUAACUUUUUUAAAGUCUCAUCUGUUAAAAAACCAAUGUUCAAAUGUUUCAUUGAAACAUGUCAAACACAGUUUUGGAAUUCCGAAGAUCGAAAUGUUCACUGUAAAGAAAUUCAUAAUAUGUCAAAGGGUUUCUUGCAGCAUUAUGGAAAUAAAAAAAAUCAGAAAAAGAACAAGAAAAUUAAAUAUACUGCACCACCAAAUUUAGAAUCAAUGGUAGAAUCAAGCAUGGUUAUAAAUUAAUUUUAAAAAAAACAUAAUUUACCAACAAUGUAUAGGCAACAGUAUUUAAAUCUUUUGGAAAACAAAGUGACAUGCUGUUUAAUGAGCUAUCUUGCCUAUAUGCUCUACCGUAGAUUGCAAUCUACUAAUGGUUACUGGAUUCUUGUUGCAUGCACUCCACCAUGUGAUUACAAUGAUUGUAUUUAAUGUACAUACUCAAUGCCUCAAAGGAUAGAACUGUGGAGGCUAAAAAUUGUAAAAAAAUAUG